GCCGAUGUAGCUCAGUCGGUAGAGCGGCGCUUUCGUAAAGCGUAGGUCAGCGGUUCAAUCCCGCUCAUCGGCUCCA
rnacentral:tRNA from 1 species